rnacentral:lncRNA from 1 species
GGCCACUCUGCACUCUGCUGGCAGCGCUCUAAGGCCGGAGUUCAAUGGCCUCAUGGCUAUUUUAAGCCCUGAGGUCUAGCAUUUCCUAUCAGCCCACUUGAGGCCCUCAGAGGUGCCUGGCUAAUAGAUAACCCGUAGCUCAGAGGCCUAGGUGGACUUUAAGGUAGCUAAAACUGGACUCAAGUCUGCCUACACAAAUGAUCAGGUCUGGAUAACUAGCAUCCUGCAACUUUGACCUUCAAAUUAAAGUAACUUCCCCUACAGAUGCGGUCAGUCAAAUGCGGAAAGCAUGGAAUUACUUCAGCUCAAGUCAUCCACAAACUUACUAACCCAGCACCACAGCAGCUCAGUCUUUUAGUUCAGUGGAUACGUCCCAGCGUGGGAACAAGAAGCUGUUUGCUCUGCUCCAAGUGUGUGGCUGGGAGAGAGUCAAAGGCAAGAGCGAUACUCUCUCCGAGGGUUGUCAGGAGCUUGGAAAAGGGUGCUCCUUAAUCCCACAGCAGGAGAGAAAGGUGCCACUCUGGAGAAGAAAGAGGAAAGCCUCUGACACACGGCCGGCAGCCCGGUGAGGAUUCGUCCCGUAGAAUCUGUGCUCCUGCGCUGGGACUGCCAGGCUCUGAGCCACCUCGCAGACGGGAACAUCAGCCCAUGGGUGCCUACGUGAGACCCCAGGUUUUGAGACAGGAGCAGCAUUUCAGAAAGCAGCCCAGAAGCGCAGCAAGCAGAGCGGCCCCUCUCCAGGCCCAGGAAGAGAGGGGAGGAGGAAAUUGGUGCUACAGCUAUGAAGUGAUCAGACAACCACAAAUUACAGCUCAAGAAGAGAUGUCUGGACCUGAGCACGCAAAGGAGGGGUGUUUGGUUAGUUUUUUUCUUCCUCUCCUGAGACUGACGGGACUACUUGGAGGGGAAGGUUCAGAUCAAUGCAAGUCAGGAUCUUGUUGUCAAGACCUUAGUAAGAAGGAAAGCAUUGCUCAGAAAAAGCAGGGGGACGGGCUGUAUUUUCCAUUCUUCUGAAUAAAG